rnacentral:sRNA from 1 species
GCCAGGCAUGGUGGAGCAUGCCUGUAUUCCCAGUGACAUGGGAGGCUGAGGCAGGAAGAUGAUAGGUUAUAGCCAACCUCAU